CCCUUAGAUGUCCUGGGCCGCACGCGCGUUACACUGAUGCAUUCAACGAGCUUAUAACCUUGGCCGAGAGGCCUGGGCAAUCUUGUUAACGUGCAUCGUGAUAGGGAUAGAUUAUUGAAAUUAUUAAUCUUGAACGAGGAAUUCCUAGUAAACGCAGAUCAUCAAUCUGCAUUGAUUACGUCCCUGCCCUUUGUACACACCGCCCGUCGCACCUACCGAUUGGAUGGUCCGGUGAAAUCUUCGGAUUGCUGGAUAGGACUUCAUUGACCUAUCUGCGAGAAGUUGCUUGAACCUUAUCAUUUAGAGGAAGGAGAAGUCGUAACA
rnacentral:rRNA from 1 species